rnacentral:rRNA from 1 species
GAUGAACGCUGGCGGCGUGCCUAAUACAUGCAAGUCGAGCGAACAGACGAGGAGCUUGCUCCUCUGAUGUUAGCGGCGGACGGGUGAGUAACACGUGGAUAACCUACCUAUAAGACUGGGAUAACUUCGGGAAACCGGAGCUAAUACCGGAUAACAUGUUGAACCGCAUGGUUCAACAGUGAAAGACGGUCUUGCUGUCACUUAUAGAUGGAUCCGCGCCGCAUUAGCUAGUUGGUAAGGUAACGGCUUACCAAGGCAACGAUGCGUAGCCGACCUGAGAGGGGGGGCGGCCACAUGAGAAGGGAAACGCGGCCACGCCACCUACGGGGGGGGAAAGGGGGAAUUGCUGCGCAGAGGGGGAAGACAGGAGGGAGCAGCGCGGGGGGAGGAAAAAGGUUGUUGGAAUAAAAAAACUUUUUUAUGGGGAAAAAAAAAAUGUGAAAGAAAAUAGGCGCGUUUGGAGGUUACCUAAUAAAAAGACCCGGACAAACAAGGGC